rnacentral:rRNA from 1 species
GAUGAACGCUGGCGGCGUGCCUAAUACAUGCCAGUCGAGCGAACAGACGAGGAGCUUGCUCCUCUGACGUUAGCGGCGGACGGGUGAGUAACACGUGGAUAACCUACCUAUAAGACUGGGAUAACUUCGGGAAACCGGAGCUAAUACCGGAUAAUAUAUUGAACCGCAUGGUUCAAUAGUGAAAGACGGUUUUGCUGUCACUUAUAGAUGGAUCCGCGCCGCAUUAGCUAGUUGGUAAGGUAACGGCUUACCAAGGCAACGAUGCGUAGCCGACCUGAGAGGGUGAUCGGCCACACUGGAACUGAGACACGGUCCAGACUCCUACGGGAGGCAGCAGUAGGGAAUCUUCCGCAAUGGGCGAAAGCCUGACGGAGCAACGCCGCGUGAGUGAUGAAGGUCUUCGGACCGUAAAACUCUGUUAUUAGGGAAGAACAAAUGUGUAAGUAACUAUGCACGUCUUGACGGUACCUAAUCAGAAAGCCACGGCUAACUACGUG